rnacentral:rRNA from 1 species
GACGAACGCUGGCGGCGUGCUUAACACAUGCAAGUGGAGCGACGAACCAGGCUUCGGCCUGGGGCAGAGCCGCGAACGGGUGAGUAACACGUGGGUAACCUGCCUCGAUGACCGGGACAACCCGGGGAAACCCGGGCUAAUACCGGAUGUGCUGCCUUCACAUCAGUGGAGACAGGAAAGGAGCUUCGGCCUCCGCAUCGAGAUGGGCCCGCGGCCCAUUAGCUUGUCGGUGAGGAAUGGCUCACCAAGGCCGCGAUGGGUAGCUGGUCUGAGAGGACGAUCAGCCACACUGGGACUGAGACACGGCCCAGACUCCUACGGGAGGCAGCAGUGGGGAAUCUUGCGCAAUGCGCGAAAGCGUGACGCAGCAACGCCGCGUGGGGG